rnacentral:rRNA from 1 species
GUGUCAGCAGCCGCGGUAAUACGUAGGGACCAAGCGUUGUUCGGAUUUACUGGGCGUAAAGGGCGCGUAGGCGGCAAUUCAAGUCAGCUGUGAAAUCUCCGGGCUUAACUCGGAACGGUCAGCUGAUACUGCUUUGCUAGAGUGCAGAAGGGGCAAUCGGAAUUCUUGGUGUAGCGGUGAAAUGCGUAGAUAUCAAGAGGAACACCUGAGGUGAAGACGGGUUGCUGGGCUGACACUGACGCUGAGGCGCGAAAGCUAGGGUAGCAAACGGGAUUAGAUACCCCAGUAGUCC